AACGAACGCUGGCGGCAGGCCUAACACAUGCAAGUCGAGCGGACCUUUCGGGGUCAGCGGCGGACGGGUGAGUAACGCGUGGGAAUAUGCCCUUCUCUACGGAAUACUCCUGGGAAACGGGGGGUAAUACCGAAUACGCCCUAUGGGGGAAAAAUUUAUCGAGCAAGGAGUAGCCGGCGUUGAAUUAGGUUGUUGGUGGGGUAAUGGUCUACCAAGCCGACGAUCCAUAGCUGGUUUGAGAGGAUGAUUAGCCACACUGGGAGUGAGACACGGCCCAGACUCCUACGGGAGGCAGCAGUGCGGAAUCUUAGACAAUGGCGGCAACCCUGAUCUAGCCAUGCUGCGUGAGUGAUGAAGGCCUUAGAGUUGUAAAGCUCUUUCAGCUGGGAAGAUCAUGACGGUACCUGAAGAAGAAGCCCCGGCUAACUACGUG
rnacentral:rRNA from 1 species